rnacentral:lncRNA from 1 species
GUGACUAAAACCUGUUACAACAGUAUCUGCAUUUUCAUAUAGUAAUAUCUUCUCAAUCUCAUUAAUAAAAUUAUUUGGUUUUCUUUGGUUUGUAUUUCUUAUUCCUCUUGAGUUAACUACUGAAUUCACUAUUUUGGCUUUGUUUAAUGAGUAGUUUAUAAUCUGGAAACAGCAUCUGCAUCCUACAUCAAAUCACCAUUUUCCUUAUUCUUAGGUGUUUUAUAUUGACUUAUUUUUUUAAUGUUCUUUGUUAUGGUUUUGGUUUUUCUUCUUUGUUCUCAGUUUUGUCUCAUUACCCUCAUUUUACAAUGUGUAGAACUAGAUCAUUUUCCCUUCCAUGGUGUUUCAUUGCUAACAUAAAAGUCAAAGUACGUGUAUCACUAUACACUGGAUUUCCAUUACAUACAGUGUUUGUGUGUGUGUGUGUGUGUGUGUGUGUGUGU